rnacentral:misc_RNA from 1 species
GUCAGCUGAAGUCUUUCCAAGUCAAGAAUCUGCUGUAGAAUAAGAGAAGUAUUCUCUCUCCGUUUACGCAAGCUUAACACCUUAGUGUAGUAACUAGUUGAUCCCACUUCUGAUUCAGGAGAAACAACGAGACCUGUGAAGUCGAGUUCAGAAGCUAAGGAAGAGCCCCCUGGUGAUGAGUGAGACCGUUUAAAUUUUUUUGAAAUGACCUUAACUCCAUUCGCUUUACCAUUCGAUGUUGAGAUGAACUGAUCUGGUGGAGUGGCA